ACAGCUCAUCUAGGGUUUAUAGCUCAUCUUCUUCCUCGCCGUUUCGGCAACUUUACUUAGCUUUCAAAUACGUUUUUUUUUAUAAAUAUCUUUGAUUAUCGAGCGAUGCGAUGAAGAGUUAAUAUCGGAAAUAAACAGAUCGUGGGACAAAUCUCGUCUCGCGAGUUGAUGUCCGAUAAUAUUAUGGUUCGUAUUCGCUGAGCAUCGUAUUCGUUGUAGCAUGUUUAGAAAUUAGGCAACGAAGGACCUAUGGGUGAAACGCUUUAAUCAAUGCGUAUUCAAGCCAAGUUUACCUUCGGAAAUUCAUAAUCGGAGAUUGGUGGAUUUAUCCGAGAUCUGUGUUUUCAAUUCCGGAUUUCGGUUUUUCAUCCCUUAUGGAUUUGGUUUUCGAUUAAAUUCUUGUGAUAUGAGAAUGUGAUUAGAAGCAAAAGCGAAGGACCCAGCAGGGAAGCGAGUAAACUCAUGAAAUGAGGCUUCUCUAACAAUUUAUUUAACCUUCGUAGAUUGAAUCUCCAAGAGCUCUUUGAUGAUCUACGUUUUCGUGGGUUCUCUUGUGUUUUUUGGUGUAUAGCUAGUUUCAUAUGAAGUUUCAGUGUUGGUUUUGUUUAAAUGCAGAGAUUGUGUGUAUCGGCUUAGUGCGAUGUAAUGCGCUUUGUACGAAAGAUUUCUCUGCGACAUUAAUUUGGGGCAGAUGGGCAGUUGUGAUUCAAUGUCAAUUGAAUAGCUCAACAAUCAUCUUCCCCACAAUUCGUUUGAUUCAACUUUACUCUAAUUGUAUUAGUUAGAUUAGAUAUACAUUUUGACGGGGAAAUUUGUGAAUUUAGCAA